AACGAACGCUGGCGGCAGGCUUAACACAUGCAAGUCGAACGCCCCGCAAGGGGAGUGGCAGACGGGUGAGUAACGCGUGGGAACAUACCCUUUCCUGCGGAAUAGCUCCGGGAAACUGGAAUUAAUACCGCAUACGCCCUACGGGGGAAAGAUUUAUCGGGGAAGGAUUGGCCCGCGUUGGAUUAGCUAGUUGGUGGGGUAAAGGCCUACCAAGGCGACGAUCCAUAGCUGGUCUGAGAGGAUGAUCAGCCACAUUGGGACUGAGACACGGCCCAAACUCCUACGGGAGGCAGCAGUGGGGAAUAUUGGACAAUGGGCGCAAGCCUGAUCCAGCCAUGCCGCGUGAGUGAUGAAGGCCUUAGGGUUGUAAAGCUCUUUCACCGAUGAAGAUAAUGACGGUAGUCGGAGAAGAAGCACCGGCUAACUUCGUGCCAGCCGCCGCGGUAAAAC
rnacentral:rRNA from 1 species